UGCCACUGCACUCCAGCCCUAGUGAUAGA
rnacentral:piRNA from 1 species